rfam:Nelumbo nucifera unplaced genomic scaffold scaffold00035, whole genome shotgun sequence
GUCGUUGUAGUAUAGUGGUGAGUAUUCCCGCCUGUCACGCGGCUGACCCGGGUUCGAUUCCCCGCAACGGCG